rnacentral:rRNA from 1 species
GAUGAACGCUGGCGGCGUGCCUAAUACAUGCAAGUCGAGCGAACGGACGAGAAGCUUGCUUCUCUGAUGUUAGCGGCGGACGGGUGAGUAACACGUGGAUAACCUACCUAUAAGACUGGGAUAACUUCGGGAAACCGGAUCUAAUACCGGAUAAUAUUUUGAACCGCAUGGUUCAAAAGUAAAAGACGGUCUUGCUGUCACUUAUAGAUGGAUCCGCGCUGCAUUAGCUAGUUGGUAAGGUAACGGCUUACCAAGGCAACGAUGCAUAGCCGACCUGAGAGGGUGAUCGGCCACACUGGAACUGAGACACGGUCCAGACUCCUACGGGAGGCAGCAGUAGGGAAUCUUCCGCAAUGGGCGAAAGCCUGACGGAGCAACGCCGCGUGAGUGAUGAAGGUCUUCGGAUCGUAAAACUCUGUUAUUAGGGAAGAACAUAUGUGUAAGUAACUGUGCACAUCUUGACGGUACCUAAUCAGAAAGCCACGGCUAACUACGUG